CAUUUAAAGAAAGCGUAAUAGCUCACUGGUCGAGUCGGCCUGCGCGGAAGAUGUAACGGGGCUAAACCAUGCACCGAAGCUGCGGCAGCGAACGUAUCACUUAAAGCGAUUCAGCGGGUUACGAUUGACGGAGCGAAGCGACGUCAAAGCGUAUACAAAGUCGAGUCGGUUUAAGGAUACGUUCGUUGGGUAGGGGAGCGUUCUGUAAGCCUGUGAAGGUGGCCUGUGAGGGUUGCUGGAGGUAUCAGAAGUGCGAAUGCUGACAUAAGUAACGA
rnacentral:rRNA from 2 species